rnacentral:lncRNA from 1 species
AUUUUACACAAAAUACCAAAGACGUGGAAUCUGCUAUAUUGCAUCAUGUAUACACUUGCUCAUUCACCGUUACCCACUUGAUAACAUUUUUGCUACAAUUUUUGCUAUUUUUUUUUUUUUUUUUUUUUUUCAAAAUAGUCAAUUAAAAAACUGAAUCUGGUUAAAAUGGGGUUUGUUAAAGCAGAAGAAUUUGUUAAUCAGUACAUGAGAGUAAACAAAGAAUUAAGAGAAUUAUGCAUUCGUAAAAACGAUGAGUUUAAAUAUAAUAUCUUUAUGUUUUAUUAUAAUAAUAUUGAUUCUAUGUGUACAGAACAUAUUUUACAUUUCCACAAAAAUUUGAAACGUAAUGUUAAUAUUUUUAGUUAUGGAAUAGAAAAAAAAAGUGAUAUAUAUAAUUUUUUUAAAAAACAUAAUGAAGUUUAUUCUAAAAAUGAAAAUUAUCAUAAAGAUUCUUUUUUUUCAGUUAUAUUAAUUGGUAUAUGUUCUCACAUUAAUACUGAUGCAAAUAUAUAUGAAGAAAUAGAGCAAUUUUUUAGUAAUAUAAUUAAUAAAAAUUAUUUGAUUUAUUUAAAAUUUUUUGUUAUAGAUAAUAAACGACCUUUCAAUGAAAUUUUUCAAAAUAAUGAAAAAUGGUUUUUAGUACUAAGUGAGUAUGAGCAUACAGAAGUAACUAACAUUUAUGCAAAUACGUUAAAUGCAAGUAAUAAUAGGGAACAAAGAGAUAACACUACUACAAGUUUACAAAAUAAGAACCAAAAAAUCAAAAAAAAAAAUCAAAAAGGCGAUAUUACAAAAACGAAUACCAACACAGAUGAUGGUGAUAAUGGUGCCUUUUCCAAAUUAAUCGAAUAUUACAGAAUUAUAAAAGAACAAAACAAAUGUUUAUGUUUAAUGAUUUAUCCAUUUAUCCAAUGUCUAAGUGAAGAUGAUUUAUCAUGUAUAAUUUUUAUUACAAGCAUAUCUUUAAUAUCUUACUUAAAGACAGAUCAAAUAACAUAUGAUUAUUAUAACAAAGAAAUAAAAAAUUUACACAAGGAUUCAACAAAUGUAGUGAAUAACCACUUUAUGACAUUUGACCAUGAAAGGGGACUACUACCUAUGUUAUCAUUUACUUCUUUAAACGAUGCAUUAGAAAUAGAUGAACGUAUAUAUAUAUAUGAUCAAAAAAAUAUUAAACAAACGUUUAAUAAAAUAAGAACUAUGUGUCAUAUAGAAAUAAAAGAAUUUACUGGAAAUUUUAGACAACUUGAUAUGAAAAAACAAACUGAAAUUCUAGUUAAAUUACAAAGCUUAAUUAAAAUUAUAAAACCAUUAAAUACAUUAGCAUGGAAAAGAAGAACUUAUGUUUUAUAUAAUAGUGAUAGUUUUUAUUUUAUAAUUAUACUUACAUAUAUAUAUAUUAACAGAGCUAAAAAAAUGGAAACUUAUUUAUAUAAUUGUUUAAAAACAUCUGAUUUUUUAUUUAACAUUUUUAAAGACAGACUAAAACAAUCUGAAAUUUAUGAUAAACUAAUAGAAAAACAUUUACAUAAAAAUGCAUCUAGCUAUUUAAGUAUAUUAAUAAAAAAAAUUAUGGAAAGUAAUAAAAAAAUGAUAUCUAUAUCACCCAAUCUUAAAAUUUAUUUUGACUAUUUCCAAACACCUAGACAUUCUUACACACACCCAUUUGAAUUAAGUUUUGUUGCAAAUAUGUUUUCUUCAUUUCAAUCUUUUUGUAAUGAAAAAUACAAAACAUACCACUUGAUUAUAUGUCAUAUAACCGAUUCAGAGGAUACUUUGUUAUAUGGUUUUACUCCGAAUAAUAAAAAAGAUUAUUGGCCAUUAAUUUUUUCAGAGAUAGCUUAUAGUAAUGCUGAUCAAGUUCUUUAUGAUACUCUAGUUGAUGUCCAUACCAUAGAAAUUAAAAAAAAAGAUGCCAGGUUUAUAUUAGAUGAAAUUAAAGACGUUUUCAGAAAAAUUAUUAGACAAGAGCAUCGAAAACAUUUGGACAAAACAGAUGUCUUGAGUGACGAUGAAAACUAUUUUGAGGAAGAAACUGUUGAAGAAAAUGCACACCAGGGGGAGCAAGAUGAUAAUCAUGAGGAGGAGGAAGAGGAAGAGGAAGAGGCGGAUAAAAAGGCGGACCCUGAAUAUGAUACGAUACAGACAGGCACCACUAUCGAACAAGACGAUUUUGAUGUAAAAAGUAAUAAAUAAUGACACAUUUAUGUUUUGUACACAUACGUACGUACGUGCGUGCGCAUGUGUACAUGCAUAUAUACACAUACACAUAUAAUAUAUAUAUAUAUAUAUAUGGCCAUAUUGUUGAAUUUUUUUUUUUUUUUUUUUUUGGAAUCUUUUUUAUUUCUUAGCAUAUUUUGGUAGUAAAAAAAAAAAAAAAUCCCAAAAUUAUACAAGUUUAACUCGUGCGUACAUAUAUAUAUGUAUGUAUGCGUUUAUAAUACCAUUUUUGAACAUGUGUCUGCACGCAUAUAACAUUUUUAUAAGAACGCUUUGCUUUAUUUUUUAUUUUAUAUUUUUUUUUUAAAUGUGAAAACGCGAGCUGUUUUUAUUGAACUGUCGUCCAUUUAAUAGUCUCUGAUUUAAGGGCGCUCUUUUUUAUCGCUCUCGUUCGUUUUUUUUUUUUUUUUUUUUAUUUUAUUUUUUAUUUUGACUUGGAAUUAUUUGAAAAAAACUAAAUUUUUUUUUUUUUAUUUGGCAUAAAAACACAAACUUUUAUUUAUAAAAAAAAAAUUAACCGCGUUAUAACUAGCUGAAUAGAAAAAUACUGGCGAAACGUGCUAAAUGGAAAGUGAAAAAAAAACACAAAACGGAUAAAAAGCUAACUGAUAAAAAACUAAUGGAUAAAAAACUAGCGGAUAAAUUAGCGAAUGUGUUAACAAAUGAAUUAGUAAAUAUAAAAAUGAACACAACUAAAC